rnacentral:misc_RNA from 1 species
UACUGGCAGGAUCAACCAGGCAACAGUGAAGAACAAGUAUCAUCUCCCCCGGAUCGACGAGCUCUUCGAUCAGCUUCAAGGUGCUCAGUAUUUUUCGAAGGUGGAUUUGAGAUCAAGAUAUCAUCAACUUCGAGUUAGAGAGCAGGAUGUGUAGAAGACGGCGUUUCGUACUCGUUACGGGUACUAUGAGUUCUUUGUAAUGCCAUUCGGGUUGACAAAUGUACCAGCAAUGUUCAUGCCUUUGAUGAACAAGAUCUUCGCUCCGUACCUCGAUAGCUUCAUUGUGGUGUUCAUUGACGAUGUGUUGGUUUACUCCAAGUCCAAAAAAGAAUACGAACAACAUUUGAGGACAUCUCUGUAGUUGUUGCGCGACAAUCAGAUGUACGCAAAGCUCAGCA